UCAGCGUGCAGCAGCGCGGAGGAGGAGCGUUAACGGUGCCGGCCGGGACCGGUCAGCAGGGCGGACAUGGCGGCACACAGCUCUGUGUAUCACUGCUAGACUGGAAACGCUUUUAGUUAGCUUUUACAGUAAAUUUAAUUUGAUAAAAGAAUUUCACUUGGAGUCAUGGACGAGCAGUGUUUGUUUUUAUUACUUCCUGCGCGGAGAUGCUGCUGGCGUUUUGGUGCGCAAAGCUGUGACUGUCUCUGUGGGUGAGGCUGCAAACUUUCCAGGCAGAGCUCCAAACCAGGGCGGCUAUUUCACGGGAAUGGAGUUUCAGCGCCUCCACCCAGAUUAGAGCCCUGCUGGUGUCCUCAGUGUCCGGCUCCUCUGCUCACUCUCCCCCGGCUGUAAGAUGUUUCAGCUCCACAACGCAGGAAGGACCAAAGUAUCUACAGCAGGCAUGAUCAGCACCAGACGAACACCACAGCAGCCAGAGAUGAACUAACUGCACAUUAAACUGGAUUCACUGCAAUGUUUAGUGGAAGAUUUUGUGGAUACAGUAUCAAGAUAGAGCAGGCUCCUUCAAGUUUAUAUUGUGGGUUUCCAUUAUGAUCUUUAAACUUUUGAUAAUUUAGCACUUUUUAAAGACGAAAUUAUCACAAGCAAUUGAAUUAUCAAAGAAAUGAAUUAAUUGCUUGAGUCCUAUUGUAAUUUUGUAUCAUUUUCUGUAUAAUUUAGCUAUAUGGUACGUUGGCUCAACACUAUUUGGACAACUGUUUUUUAAAAAUAGUGGACGCACAAUGUUACAAAACAAUCCAAGUAUAAGCUGUAACUGUCUUGAUGUCUCAUGUUGUUUUCCUCCUGAGCUGUUCAGGUUCUACAGCAGGACUUAAAACCUGACUUCACCAAUGAAGGAAAUAAA